UACUAUUUUGAUUCUUCAUCUUAUUUAAAUUUUUUUAUGAUUAAUAUUUUUAUUCUUGCUAGAUGAUAAAACAUGAAUAAUACUUUAUGUGUGACUAAUUUUUUUUAAGUUUUUUACAAAUUUUUUAAAUAAGACGAAUGGUCAAAAGCGUUGGACAUAAAAAUC
rnacentral:pre_miRNA from 1 species